rnacentral:rRNA from 1 species
ACGGGAGGCAGCAGUGGGGAAUAUUGCACAAUGGGGGAAACCCUGAUGCAGCGACGCCGCGUGAGUGAAGAAGUAUUUCGGUAUGUAAAGCUCUAUCAGCAAGGAAGAAAAUGACGGUACUUGACUAAGAAGCCCCGGCUAACUACGUGCCAGCAGCCGCGGUAAUACGUAGGGGGCAAGCGUUAUCCGGAUUUACUGGGUGUAAAGGGGGCGUAGACGGCAUAGCAAGUCUGAAGUGAAAUGCAUGGGCUCAACCCAUGAACUGCUUUGGAAACUGUUAAGCUAGAGUGCAGGAGGGGUAAGUGGAAUUCCUAGUGUAGCGGUGAAAUGCGUAGAUAUUAGGAGGAACACCAGUGGCGAAGGCGGCUUACUGGACUGUAACUGACGUUGAGGCUCGAAAGCGUGGGGAGCAAACAGGAUUAGAUACCCUGGUA